GCCCGUGCGGGAGAUGAUGUUCCUCCUUUAACCGCCCGUUUCAUUAGGGAUGAUGACGUCUAACAACAA
rnacentral:ncRNA from 2 species